rnacentral:rRNA from 1 species
AUUGAACGAGGGAGGAAGGAAGAACACAUGCGAGUCGAACGGUAACAGGAAGCAGCUUGCUGCUUCGCUGACGAGUGGCGGACGGGUGAGUAAUGUCUGGGAAACUGCCUGAUGGAGGGGGAUAACUACUGGAAACGGUAGCUAAUACCGCAUAAUGUCGCAAGACCAAAGAGGGGGACCUUCGGGCCUCUUGCCAUCGGAUGUGCCCAGAUGGGAUUAGCUUGUUGGUGGGGUAACGGCUCACCAAGGCGACGAUCCCUAGCUGGUCUGAGAGGAUGACAAGCCACACUGGAACUGAGACACGGUCCAGACUCCUACGGGAGGCAGCAGUGGGGAAUAUUGCACAAUGGGCGCAAGCCUGAUGCAGCCAUGCCGCGUGUAUGAAGAAGGCCUUCGGGUUGUAAUGUUUUGUCAGCGCGGAGGAAGGGAGUAAAGUUAAUACCUUUGCUCAUUGACGUUACCCGCAGAAGAAGCACCGGCUCCUUCCGUC